UCCCUUUGUCCCAAAUUUCUUGUCUUAGAUUUGUCUAGAUACGGAUGUAUCUAAUACUAAAAUGUGACUUGAUACAUCUGUAUCUAGACAAAUCUAAGACAAGAAUUUUGGGACGGAGGGAGUACUUU
rnacentral:pre_miRNA from 1 species